rnacentral:ncRNA from 1 species
UACUAAUAUUAUUCAGUUUUACUUUCGUUUUAGUUAAACGUUGUUAAGACAUUGUUAUAUUUCGUUUAGUGUGUCGUCUUAUAAUUGGAAUGAGUUGAGCAUAAAUCAUUCAACAAGGAUCAAGUGGAGGGCAAGUCUGGUGCCAGCAGCCGCGGUAAUUCCAGCUCCACUAGCGUAUAUUAAAAUGGUUGCGGUAAAUACUACGCACUAUCAAAGUUACCCGCAUCAUCA